rnacentral:lncRNA from 1 species
AUGGAAAGGGACACAAGCAUUCAGUCCACAGUAGCAGAUGUUCUGUUUGGUUCUGAUUCCAUUUUAUUUUCUUCCCUCCUAGGUCUGAGCUAUGCUGUUCCUUUCUCGGAGCCCUGCGCUCAGCAUAGGUGCACGUCCACCACGGCGGGAUUCACCCUUUGUCCCUGCUUCCACCAUUUCCUUCUACAGCAGCCAGAAUCAGGCUGGGGCUCUAGGGGAGAAAACGCCUCUUUGAAUUGUUGCAAAAGUGAUACCCAUGGAGUAGAUGCUAUACUUGGAAAUUUGAAAAUUUUUUUUCAUUUGAUAAUGAUGCAAUGCUGCUCCCUGGUGAUGCAGGGCAGUUGGGAAGCAGCCCACAGUCCAGCGCUGCAAAGCAAGGAUGUUUGCUUCUCAUUCUCGCGAGAUCAAAACAAUUGUCACCUUCAGCAGUCACAUUCAGAAAUCCCAUAG